CCUCUUAUUCUCUUCUCUAACCUGCUUUGGGGAGCUUUCUCAUCUGAUUGGGAGCUUGUUUUCUUGUAGAAAAGAUAGCAAGGACUUUAGUGAGUCUUCUUUCAUGCUUGUUCUUUAUGUUUAAGAAGAAAGUCAAACAGUUUGGCCAACAGUUUGACUUUCGGUUUUGACCAUCAAUUGGUCAAGUCAAGGUUCAAUUGAACUUUGACACGUGAUUGUAAUCACGAUAGUUAUAAUCCUUCGCGAUUAUAACCGCUGAUUACCACGUUAUCUAAGUUGUAGUGUCGAGUCAAAGUUUCGGUCAAAAUGCGUUUUAGCACGCAUUUUGCAACGGAACUACUUUAGGGUAUCAAAACGCCUUGUUUUGAUACCAAAUCAGUAGGUUAGACAUGUUUUGACAUGUUUAACUCGACACUAUUAGUUUGUGCUUGUUUAGGAUCGUAAGAUAAGCGGUCUAAACAACCGCUUAUACUUCCGAACCCGACCCGUUUGGUCGAUCUUUAGGAUCCGACCAAGCUUAGUAAGUGAUCAUAGAUUCAUAGGGAAUAACCACUGAGGUUAUAACCUUAUGAUCACCUAGGAUUGGUUAGUCAUUUGCUAGUUAGCUUGUAUGCCCAUAGGAAAUGACCAAAAUGCCCUUUUGAAGCUAAAAUCCGUAUUUUGAUUAUGUGAACAUAUUUUCAACAUAUAAUCUGAAUUAGUAACAUGUUUAGGGAUAAUUGGGCAUGUAAGACUUGACAUAGCACAUAGUUAACCAUCCGAACCUAGUUUUACGCAAACGACGCAUUAUAGUGGCUUAUGUUACCAUAAUGUGUCGAAACGGGUCAAAAGCACUUAGGUAGGCCUUUCAAUCAGAAUGUUGGGACUAUUAAAUCAUACCAUAUGAGUUCAAAUACUCAUUUGAUUUAUAGAACCUCAUUCUAUCCUAUCUUCCGAUUUAGGAUCCGAUUGUUUAACAUAGUGAUCCAUACUAGGUGCCACUUGAUUCCUUGAUUUCCCGAGCUUUGUUAGGACACUUAAUCAAGGAUACUUGCAAUCUCAAGUGAGUACAUAGUCCCCUCUUUUACUGUUUCAAAUGUUUUGGGGUGAAACAUAUAUGCCUAUCUGUUAUUUUCCUGAUUUUAAACUACAUGAUUAUACAUGUUUAGUACACAUUCUUUUGACAAAUUAAACGAUUCCCUAUGGUUUAAACACUGAUUUUUCCAAAACUUAAUAAACAAAUUGUUGGAUUGUACCAUUUUUAUACAUUCACCCAGCCGAUUGGUAGUAUGAUAUAGCGCUAUAGGACUAGACACCCCAUUCCUGUUGUAUGGAAUGUCAGAAACCAAAUUUAAACCAAAUAGAAAUUGCCUUCGUGGUAUUUCUAUAGUCUCCAAAGUGUAGUUUGAUACACUAAGGCUUUGUUGAAUACCAAAUCACACUCUCUUUGUAUAUGUUGAUAUACUACAAAAGUACAGUUUGAUGUGCUCUCAAAUGUGAUAUACCAAAGUAUAUUUUGAUAUACUAAGUACAAAAUCCAACAUAUGUUUUAACCUACUUUGUUAUUUUAAACUAAAGUAUAUUUUGAUAUACUAUCCAAAGCAUAGUUUGAUAUGCUACUAUUUUCCAAGGUAUAGUUUGAUAUACUACCUACUUUGUUAUUUUAAACUAAAGUAUAUUUUGAUAUACUAUCUAAAGCAUAGUUGAUAUGCUACUUUUAAACCAAAGCAUAAUUGAUAUGCUAUUUACAAACCAAAGUAUAAUUUGAUAUACUACCAAUACUUUUAUUCUUAAACUAAAGUAUACUUGAGAUAUACUACCGAAACUAUUAUUUUAAUUACUAAAGUAUAUUUUGAUAUACUAUCCAUUUAACUAUUUCAAAACUAAAGUAUACUAUGAUAUACUAUUUGUACAAACUUUUCAAAACCAAAGUAUAUUUUUGUCUAUACUAUAAACCCGUUUUCCAAAACGACACAUUUUCAGAAACAAAACUUUUACACUAGAUUCAUGGCUAUUUUGAAAAACAUAAAACCUUUUCUCAUACUAUCUAAAGCCAUGAAUCUAAUACACAAAAUCCUAUGUACUGCUAUGUGAUGAUUGUUGAUGCACGCUACAUAUAGGAUGGACUUGUGCCUUAGCGACUUAAAAACUGAGAAACAAUUAUUUGUUUUAUUUUAAAUUGUACCAAAACAUUUAAUUCAAUAAUUCAAUAAAACAAAACUAUU
rnacentral:lncRNA from 1 species